ACGCUCGACACCUACGGGAAGCAGCAGUGGGGAAUAUUGCACAAUGGGGGAAACCCUGAUGCAGCGACGCCGCGUGAAGGAAGAAGUAUCUCGGUAUGUAAACUUCUAUCAGCAGGGAAGAAAAUGACGGUACCUGACUAAGAAGCCCCGGCUAACUACGUGCCAGUAGCCGCCGGUAAGUACUGAGGCGGGCCGGUGGCGAAGGACG
rnacentral:rRNA from 1 species